CUCUGGCUGUUAUUGUGUAUUCACCGCGAGGUAAGUACCAGAUUCCAGGGGAAAUCAAGAUUCUUCCCUGACUACCCAAGCAGAGUGAUGCUUCUUUUUGAUUCAGUCAUAGUGUUUUCUGUUUCGUGUAACACAACUCCUUAGUAAAGGGUAAGCACCAUGUUUCCUACCUAGUACAAGACUGAUCAGAGGGUAGGCACUAAUAGCACAAACACAAUUUUUAGUUGGAUGGAAUUGAACAAACUCAUUGCAUUGAAUGUUUCUGCAUUUAACAUCAUUUGGAGAACACCAGGAUGCAAAUCUGGUCCAUUUUCUCGCACAAAACUCUCCACCCAUUGGUAGCCUGAAAGCCACAGUUGACAAAUGUUAGGAAGCACCAGCAAAAACCAGUUUCCACCCCUCUUACCUUGACUUGUGUGACUGCCCACACUUCUAUCCAGAGCCAAAUGAAAGCUUCCAGUCAAUGAAAAAAUCUAGCAACCAAUAUUUAGGUAAGGUACUAAGAGCUAUUUUGCAUUUUGUUGCUCCCCCACCCUGCACCCCAAUUAGGGUUCCCUGCAUGGGCCCCGCAGGUAUCUGAGGCUACUGCCUUGAAGCCCCCACCCCACCCACUAAAGACACUGAGUACUGGAGGGUCCCCUCUCCUUGUUCUACCAUCAUAACAUGCCCACACAGGGGCCUGCUUCUUCAGGGGUUUAGCGCCCUCCACUGGGGGACAAAGGGUAAUCAAUGGACUAUUAUGCAACUCACAAAAUUCUUACUGUCUUUCCCCUUCUCAGGGAGAAUUAUGUCCUACCAGAGGAAAAAAAAAAUGCACACAUCAUCGAUAAAAUCUUUGUACCAAAACAUCAUGCCUCGAAAUCAUUCAGGAUGCAUCUUUUUAAAAAAUCUCAGUGAGCAACGCUAAAGAAGAGAGACCACAAGCUCUAGACGUUUUCCUGUAUAAUUAAGAAGAAUCUGUUCAACAAACCCCCAUGACAUAAGCUUAUCUAUAUAACAAAC
rnacentral:lncRNA from 1 species